AGUGAACGCUGGCGGUAGGCCUAACACAUGCAAGUCGAACGGCAGCACAGUAAGAGCUUGCUCUUACGGGUGGCGAGUGGCGGACGGGUGAGGAAUACAUCGGAAUCUACUUUUUCGUGGGGGAUAACGUAGGGAAACUUACGCUAAUACCGCAUACGACCUACGGGUGAAAGCAGGGGAUCUUCGGACCUUGCGCGAUUGAAUGAGCCGAUGUCGGAUUAGCUAGUUGGCGGGGUAAAGGCCCACCAAGGCGACGAUCCGUAGCUGGUCUGAGAGGAUGAUCAGCCACACUGGAACUGAGACACGGUCCAGACUCGUGCGGGAGGCAGCAGUGGGGAAUAUUGGACAAUGGGCGCAAGCCUGAUCCAGCCAUACCGCGUGGGUGAAGAAGGCCUUCGGGUUGUAAAGCCCUUUUGUUGGGAAAGAAAAGCAGCAGGUUAAUACCCCGCUGUUCUGACGGUACCCAAAGAAUAAGCACCGGCUAACUUCGUG
rnacentral:rRNA from 1 species